rnacentral:other from 1 species
CUCCUUCUGAGGCGUUGGUGACUGCCAAUAACGUUUUAUGAUCUAUGCUCGACAAAACGGGAGCUAAGAGCCUAUGGCGGCAGUAGACCGGGCUUGCCUUGUGCAAGAUUUCCCGGAAACUUUAAGCCAGUUCGGACGUGGCACCCACCUGGUUUAGGCCAGGUCAAAAACUGAGGUAAGACGGCGCUCCCGGAAGGAUG